GGAGGUCUUUUCUGCGCUGUAUUUUAGAGGAAUUUUUUUCUUUUCUGUUUUUCAGAUUAAAUUUUUCUUUUCUUUUCUGUUUUGAAGAUUUUUUUUUCUGUUUUUCAAAGUAAUUUUUUUUCUGUUUUUUUGACUCCUUUUUUUUUGUUUUUUUGGACUAAUUUUUUCCCUGUUUUUCAAAUUUUUUUUUUUUUACUUUUCUGUUUUUUUUUGUUUUUUAAAGAAUUUUUUUUUCUGUUUUUCAGACAUUUUUGUUCUGUUUUACAUUUUUUUUUCUUUUUAUGUUUUUCAAAGUAAUUUUUUUUCUGUUUUUUGGACAAUAUUUUUUGCUAUUAGGUUUUUCAGAUGUUUUUUUUUCUGUUUUUUAAGGUUAUUUUUUUCUGUUUUUCAGACUAAUUUUUUUUUCCUUUUCUGAUUUUUGGACUCAUUUUUUUCUGUUUUUCAAAGAAUUUUUUUCUUUUUCUGUUUUUCAGACUAAAUGUUUUUUUUCUUUUUUUUCUGACAAUUUUUUUGUUCUUUUCUUCUUUUCAGACGAAUUUUUUUUCUGAUUUUUUUUAACCCUAACCGUAACCCUUUUCCUAUUUAUUCUCUGGGCUCGUCAUAAUUUAAAAACAGACACUUUCUUCCCCCUCUGCUCGAUUUAUUGGGAGCAAACAUGGCCUACUUGUUUGGUUUAAUUAAGUUUUACUUUCUGUUUUGGGUUUGAUUGCAAUACGCUUCCGUACCAGACCGAGUGUUACGAUAUUUUGCAUGAAUUUAGAGAAUUAGAGUUAGGGUUUGGGUUGCAAAAACAGCUAAAUGCCUGAUUUUGUCUGAAUUUUGAUGCCUAUGAAAAAAAAAAAAAUGACCCCAGUGCUAAAGACUAAAUCAUUUGUCUUUGUUUCAAACCAUAAAACAAACUGUGUAAUAAAAGAUGUUAUAGCUGUCCUCAGAGGUCAGGGAACGCUGCUCAUAUAAGGAUGUCGCUCCAGCAGGUGACUUGGGACCACCUGGUGUCAAGACAUCUGAGGCAUCUCUCCAAAUACUCUUAGUGCACAUACUGGGGACCGGGCCACAACAGACCAUCCGUCAUUACCCACAUGUCAUGCUGAGCUCCAGUUUUAGAUACUACAGCCAUAGUUUUCACCGCAGGAGGUUGAAUUUUUGCACUACACCAUUUUUUAGGCUCUUCAUCACUACAGCAAAGCUCAUUUUUCACUCUCAUCACCCCUUCAGUUUUAUAUUUGGUUGUUUUUGUGAAUGCAGUCUUGUUAUGUCUAGAUUUGUGUCUCUGAUGCUGCAGCUGUGGGUGAUUUAAAUCAUCAUGUGGUCCUGAGAGUCGACACUUAAUUAUUACGACUCUUCAGGAGCUCAUUUUGAAACUGACUGAACUGUUUAACUCGAUUUCUCCUGCGUCCUCAGGGUUUGACCCAUGAUUCCAGUUUAUCCAGAUCCUCUAUAGCGGAUGAUCUGGGAUGACUGGCAGACAGAAAUCUCUGCAAGUGUAAGUGAAUUUAUAAAACUAGGAGUGACAGCCGAACAGAACCUCCUCUGUCUAUGUCUAUUUCAAAACCCGAGCUCGGUAGCUGCGCCUCCCUGCUGCGCCGAGAAGAGGAAUCCUGCUGGUCUGAGAUCAGAAGCUGGAGGCUGUUGGCUGUUGAGGUCAGCCACAACACUGAGAGGGCUGUCACAUAUAUUCAGCCUGCAGACUAAAUGGAAGGAGACAGACGGUAAUUUACCGCACACAUAAUAGAAGUCAAAGCGCCAACAAACCAGGAAAAAAAAAACCCUGAUAUAAACUGUAACCUGCACUUUAGUACACACUUUAAAACACACACAGCAUCACACUUCUGCACUCCCAGGCCUCCUCCUCCCCUCCCCCCCCUAAUAAAAACCAGAGUUUCAAACAGACUCCCUGUGGUGCAGUAUUCACUUCAUCUGAGCUGCCACGGUGACAGUUUGAGUAAUAGUAUUUUCCUAUUUCUUUGGACAAUCGCCACUUAGUAGUUCUGUGCGAUUAGGUAAGAACCUGGAUUCUGAAAUAAGCUUCUCUUUUUAAGGCUAAUAAAGCAGUUUAGUCUUUUCAACUUAAAAAGAUAAAAAUUAUCUCUGACCAUUUAGCUUUGUGAGAUCCAAUAGAACACUGACUGGAGUCUUAAGGUCGUGGGUUCGAGCCUUACCUUACCCUGGUCAAGGUGAAUUUUAAAGACUAGUGUCAACAAAGGACAGUGAAAGAGGAAAUAAACAGAAAACUCCUGUGUGUCCACGUGGCUCAGGGGAUAAGAACACUGACUCGGACUCCUGAGGUUGUGGGUUCGAGAGACCCACACCGACACUAACCAUCCUGAGAUAGAUAUGUAGGGCUGUGCGAUAAACUGAAAAUUUACCAAUGCCAAAUUUACGACAAUAACCGACGUCAUUUUGACCAUAUUGGUAUUUUUAGUGUCAAAAAUAUAAAAUAAAUAAAAUUUGGUUUUGGAUGUGUGUAGGUAGGCUAUGAUCUCAAGACGCUGUCCUACAUCAGAGAUGUGACUCCACCCCAUCCAGUCUGUUACAAAGAGGGAAAGACAGGUGAGGAGAUGGAGGACAGUUCGAAAGUUUAUCGUUAUAGAGGUGAACUGCUCAAUAUAUCGUGAUAUUGAUUUGAGACCAUAUCGCCCAGCCCUAGUUACAUAUCAUGUGUAAAAUCGUGUGCAUGAACUAAAAACUUCUGACUGUGCAGCAUUUUUGCAAAGACACAUUUUUGCAUCACUUGUGCUUCAAGUCCAGUCAUGAGAUUUUGGAAGUUCUGCAGAAUACUCAAAA